GUGAACGCUGGCGGCAGGCCUAACACAUGCAAGUCGAGCGGCAGCGGGUCCUUCGGGAUGCCGGCGAGCGGCGGACGGGUGAGGAAUGCAUCGGAAUCUGCCUCUAUGUGGGGGAUAACGUAGGGAAACUUACGCUAAUACCGCAUACGACCUACGGGUGAAAGCCGGGGACCUUCGGGCCUGGCGCAGAGAGAUGAGCCGAUGCCGGAUUAGCUAGUUGGCGGGGUAAAGGCCCACCAAGGCGACGAUCCGUAGCUGGUCUGAGAGGAUGAUCAGCCACACUGGAACUGAGACACGGUCCAGACUCCUACGGGAGGCAGCAGUGGGGAAUAUUGGACAAUGGGCGCAAGCCUGAUCCAGCCAUGCCGCGUGAGUGAAGAAGGCCUUCGGGUUGUAAAGCUCUUUUGUUGGGGAAGAAAAGCUUCUGGUUAAUACCCGGGAGUCCUGACGGUACCCAAAGAAUAAGCACCGGCUAACUUCGU
rnacentral:rRNA from 1 species